ensembl:lncRNA
ACCUCCAGAAGUAAUAUCCCUUUCUUCAUCCAUGUUGAUGAUCCUGAGGAGAAACAGCCUGCAGCUACACUGAGACCCACAUUUCCCAACAACAGCAGCCACUUGUGACACCAGCUUGGCAGCACUUACUGAAAGCUCUCACAGGUGAGAUUCCAUUCAGUUUGGUCCUUCUCAGUCUGUGAAAAUAUCUUCUAAAAUUUCCUAAUUUAUAGACUUCAUUUAGGUAAAAAAAAAAAAAAAAAAAAACAACCACAAAACAAGCAACAAAACAGGCACAUUCAAGAUAAGUAUUCUGCAGCUAACUGCUCUCACUUUGUAUACAGAAUGAAUGAGAACAAUGCUUCUGUUAAGGGAAAUGCCUUUUGAACACUUCCUUGAGAUAUUUUUAUCUACAGCAGCAAGAAACUUUUCCAAAUGCCCAUUAAAAUGUCCCUGUGCAUUUCCAGAAACAGCAAGGGAGUAUGAAUACGGUACCUGGCAGUAUCAGGUUAGGCUCAAGGCAGGCAGCUGAGGCACUGGAGUGUGAUCUUUCAGCCGACUUAAAACCAUUCCAAACUUUUCAGCAUGAUCACUGCUACAGCACUGCAGCGUCCUGCAUCUGUUCUGAAGGCUGUCCUUAAAUCUGCCCUGGCUGCUCAUGCGCACUUCCCCCCGGGAAAGCCGUGCUGUACCGCAGCUGGAUGGCCUGACUUGUGCUGGGGUCCUUCAAGCUACGUGUCCUGCUGCCAUCUGCACAAUGGCAACAUUCAUGCAGGCACGAGGGUCGGGCUGGUAUGCUGGAGGUGCAGCUGAGUGGCUGCCUGCCCAGCCGCUGGUUUCUCACGGGAAGCAUACGAUCUCGUUCAGGUCUGACAUGCUCCAAUAAAGAUGCAGUAACAGCUCCUAAUAAACCUCUCCUCACUUCCUCUCAGAAAAACAGAAAAGUGCUGUACUUACAAAGCAGUGUUUCUUUGCCUGUGGAAACUGAGCACAUAUCUCCACUUUAUAGCAGCCGAGUGCCUGCAGCAACGACAGUGUUACCUCUGCAC